CUGUCUUUGAUUUUACUUUACAAACCUUAAAUUACCCGAAAGGCAUAUCAAAUAGAAACAAAUAUAUUCCGAUCAUUUCAGAAACGUAGUCAACUCCCCAAAAACCAACCAAUCUAAUGCCAAAUUGACUUUCAAACCGUGAUGACAAAGUGGCAAACCAUUAAUUUCACUCCGUUCCCGGAUUCCACUUCCGAUCUAAGCGAGCCAAAGCCAUGACAAAUGUUUUGUAAAUAACGCGUAUCCAGGCGAUGCGACAACGUGGCGUAUGGGUGAUGGCCAACCAGAAGGUAAAGACGGGACAGGUAAAGUAUGUUGCACCUGCCAGCAGGGAAAAAGAAGACGCAAAGAGACAAAUGGCUCACAUAAGAGAAGUGAUGGCUUUCUUUUGAUGCAUUUUAUGUGCAGAGCAAAGAAUGGAACAAUGUAUUUUGGAAAAAUCGAACAAUAGCAAUUGUACCUCAAUCAAAAUUAAACCUGUAGACCAAAACCGAAGGUAUUCUACCAAUCAUGGCCACAAUUUCUCAUGCCUCGGCAAGCUUCAGGGAGCAGGGGCAGAACACAGUUUGCCACAUUCCCAUUGAGCCGGAAAUGUGCAGGAAAUGCGAGUAAACACAAAAAGCGAUUCGAGUCGACAGUGGAUGGACAUCGAGAGGACAACAGCAUCAAUGGCUUGUCGGAGGAGGAAGCCCAAGGAGAUGCCAUUGGGUCAGGUCAUUCGCAUUCAAUAAUCCCCCGCAAAAUAGCAACAAGAAAAUAACAAUAACAAGGGAAAGCGAAACAUGGAGAAAAUGUUAUAGACUUAAAGUGUAUAU